GGAUGGCUAGCUGGAGGUCUGCGUUGUAGAGAGGGAACUCCAGGCCCACUCUUUUCUUCUCCCCGGAGUGCAGUCAAGUUGACCAAGAAGCGGGCACUGUCCAUCUCACCUCUGUCGGAUGCCAGCCUGGACCUGCAGACGGUUAUCCGCACCUCACCCAGCUCCCUCGUAGCUUUCAUCAACUCACGAUGCACAUCUCCAGGAGGCUCCUACGGUCAUCUCUCCAUUGGCACCAUGAGGUACAGUCACCCCGGGCCAAGAGGCCCCUAAAGCCCCUACCCAAGUCCAUUAAAAGUCUCAAGCCCUCAAACUG
rnacentral:sRNA from 1 species